AGGAAUAUACAAAUCAUGGUACAAAACAAUUUCGCUUUCUAGAAUAGGCUUGAGAGGCGACGAUGGAUGAUGGGGCUCUUGAGAAAUACAAUCUUUGUUAAUAUUUAUUAGUAAUGUAUCCCAUGGAGAUAUUUCUUUGUUACAUUUACAGAGAUAUCGACACUUACUAACGUGUUCGAGCAUUCAACCAAUUGGAUGUUACCAUGACAAUUAUGAUGAUUGUGCUCUCCCUGUAUAUUACGCCAAUUUCCGAUCACAGAUUGUUUGGACAAGAAUGAAUCUGACGGUAAACCAAUCCGCACAGGUGGCUCUUGACACAAAGGGUAUUUAAGUGUUCAGUUUUACGGAGAGUGCUUCGAUAGAGAGAAUGCUGGUACAGCUUACUCCAAAUAUGGAAAAAGCGGUAACUGUUGGGUAUUCAAUGAUCAAAACGGACAUGCAGUUGGAGGUGACUUGACCAAUUUUGUCUAUCAAUUUCAACAGGUUGGUAUGCUGAAAAAUGCUAGGGCUGGACUAAUUCUUCAGAAAUGCAAACUUCUUCCAUUAAAAUUUUCAGUGCUCUGUUAAAAUGGAAGCUCAUAAGUAGAAGAUGGCGAGGGAGGGGAGGGGAGGAGGGGUUCCUGACUCCGUUUCAUGCACAAAUAUUAGAACAAUUCACGUGUCACGUGUACUUUAAGCAGUUUUUUACGCAGAAAAUUCCAAAUAUCACCUUCUCCUACCUUUCUCAUAAAUCCAUGCGUCACGUAUAAAUUUUGGGCUUGAUUAGGCACAAACCCUUCAGUCUGAUUCUGUGUGUCGCCAAGUUUUAAAUUUUGGACACUAGGGUCCGACUAGGGAUUUUGGACAAUGGUGUCCUAUGAUGGAUUUAAGACACUCGUGUCUGAUUUAGAUUUUGAGCAAUGGUGUCCGAUUUUGGAUUUGGACACUAGAGUCCGAUUAUGGAUUUUGGACACUAUUGUCCGCUUUGAAAUUUUGAACACUGGUGUCUGAUUUUGAUUUUAGAAACUACCGUCUGAGUUGCGUCAUGUGUUCUAUCUGAGCAAGUUACGCGUACGAUUUUUACGUGUGCGAGUUUGAGUAUUUCAGUUUUUGAGUCGCAAUUUUCGAGUUUUUUGGUGUUUUUUUGAGUUAACUGUGUUACCGUUCCGCCGUUUUUCACUCGAGUGAAACGUGCCUGCUUUUUAAAGAGAUUUCCGUUUCCGCUUCCGAACAACUACAGAUACUCCGAUUAACAGCGAGAUUCCAAAGACUGAGAGCUCCAGCUCAGAUAUAUAGAACACGGAACAUCGGAUGUAAUUUCGGUUAGGGUUUUUGGACGAAAAACACUUGUCAAAACAGAAGAACAAAUAAUAUCCGUCUUUAAAUCAUGAAAACGGUCGGAAAGAACUUUAUUCAUUAAUAAAUGCAUUUUUGAGGCUCCGGAAAUAUCUUAAAUUUAGACACGUAUGGUUUUCAUUUAAGGCCCCCUCAAAUGAUUAGACGAUAAAACAGAGAAGAAAGCCAGUGGAUGACCUAGUUUAAUCCUUUAGCAUUUUUCACGUGUACAAAUAUGUAAUUAUCUAUUAAAAGAAAUAUAAAUACGUUGCUAUCGUAGUUAUCGGUCACGUCAUCUUAAGGUGAGUUGAUAUCACGUGAAUAAUUAGGUUUUCUCCCUAAUUCUUUGGGGUUAUAUCGGUAGAGUUUAAAUUAAGGGCCUCACUUUUGUGCAGCCACACAAAAGAGAAUUUCCCUCUAAAGAGAUAGUUGUAGUUCUUAAAUAAAAGUACGUCUAUAUCUCUCCCAAUUCUUCAUCAUUAAACUUGGGUUUUAUCAAGGCCUUAGAUUGUCUACUUUUGUUUCGGGGUUUAAUUUUUCUGUCGUCUAAAAAACAAUCAAAGAUAUAUGCUAGGUCAUGGCAGUUUGUGUUAAUAAUCCUUUUGGUGUCAUAAGAAAGUUAAAGAGAUUUGGCACAGUGCUGAGAAAUCGAUUGCUUCGAUAAAGAUUGUAAUACAGCGCUAUAAACGCCGGAAAAAUAUUGAUCAUGUAGGCAAGACGUAGAGACGAGUUGUCGACAAACAUUCCAUAACAAUCAUUAGGAUAAGUGACUCACCCUGCAACUGAGGGAAAAUCACUAUUCGUUAUUUAAACUCAUAGGCCGUUUGUUCUUUCGAUUUACUCAUGUUAUUCACUUCGUCAUGGCUGUAAAUUUCUGCCUUUUACGACAAUCAUUCGAAUACAUAUGAUGGACCAUCCAACUAACAUUGAAAAAAUAAAUCUGUAAAUUAAAACUGAAACAUUUCACGCAGGACAAAAUUUACCUCCAUGUCUCAGUUGUAUCAUAGAAAAAAUUUCAUGGUAGUUUUUGGUCCACACUUUCUGUCUGAAGUACUUCCGAUAUAUUUUUUAGUUUUGAUUAAAGCAACAAUUCUGAUGUUGGAACUAUUUUUCCUCGCUGAAUAUACUUACAAUACAAUAGUUUAUUUACCCACGCUACAUCUAGGAGUGAUAAAAAUUCAUUAAAACGUGUGCGUGAAACGAAAAACAUUUUUAAAAAAAUCUUUUAAUCUAUUAAAUCUAUUAGAUCUAUCUAAAAAACCUGCUUCUUCUUUAAAAGACACUCAAAAGUAGAAAUAUCAUUGGCGUUUCUAACAUACGUAGGUAACGAAUUCCAAAGGAAAAAAAUUUAAAUAUGUUAGAUCUAUUAAAUCUAUCUAAAAAACCUGCUUCUUUAAAAGUAGAAAUAUCCUUCGCGUUACUAACAUACGUAGGUAACGAAUUCCAGAGUUUUGCUGCCAAAAAUGAGAAUGACUAAUGGCGCCAAUCUAGAUUAAAACUAGGUAGCGUUAAAAGUGUCUGCAACCCUCUUAGAUUAUAACUACAGAUUUCAGUCUUAAAGAAAUCUUCUUUGUACCUUGAGGGUUCUUUAUUAAUACAUUUAUAUACCAAAACUAGGACCUGGAAUUUUCUUCUUUCUUCUAACUUUCUUAUACCAGCCAUAUUAAAUAUAUAACAUAACUUGUAGAUCUGCAACCACAUCCUAGUCUUGAAAAAUAAUCGGCAACUUGAAACAACUUACCGUUAAAAAUCCUCGUAGAAGACAACCAUCUGUAAUCGAAGCCAAUCUGCAAUUAAAAGAAUUAAAUUAACCUCAGAGACUAUUUGGCUAAAUAAUGUUUUGGGAGCAAAUUCUGCUGGUUUUCUUUUGCGUGUAUCAAACCAAAACCUGCAUACAGAAGCUUCCUUCGCUUUCUUUUUUUUUUCACUUUGAGGUAGCCUUGUACAAUAUUUAAUAUUUACCGACGAAAUUUUUUAGAAGCGCCGACGUGAUGUCUAAGGUAUCUGUUGCUGAUAUUAAUUAGAUGUUAUGAAUCUCAUAUAGCCUUGAGGUAUUGGCAUUCAAUGACACCUUCCCAGAGAGAAAGGUCUUUUAAGUGGACUUUACUUAAAGAAAAAUGUACGCCCUUACAGCCUUUUUUCUUGUCACGUUUCUUGUUGCCUGCUAUGCUAACCCAUUGCCAGCGGAAUUCAGAGCGAAGCGACAAUUAACUACCGUAGAGCCGCCAGACCCUACACUACCAAUAUGUACCCCUAGUCAACUUGACCAGUUUGCCAGCUGUGAGGCUCUUCUGGAGCUUGGCAUCUGCGAUCCAGAAUCCGGUUUGUUCGACUUUGCAACUCAGAAUUGCUUCUUCUCUUGUGGAUUUUGU
rnacentral:lncRNA from 1 species